rnacentral:rRNA from 1 species
CGUACAUCCAGAGAACUUAGCAGAGAUGCUUUGGUGCCUUCGGGAACUCUGAGACAGGUGCUGCAUGGCUGUCGUCAGCUCGUGUUGUGAAAGUGUUGGGUUAAGUCCCGNAACGAGCGCAACCCUUAUCCUUUGUUGCCAGCGGUUCGGCCGGGAACUCAAAGGAGACUGCCGGUGAUAAACCGGAGGAAGGUGGGGAUGACGUCAAGUCAUCAUGGCCCUUACGGCCAGGGCUACACACGUGCUACAAUGGCGCAUACAAAGAGAAGCGACCUCGCGAGAGCAAGCGGACCUCAUAAAGUGCGUCGUAGUCCGGAUUGGAGUCUGCAACUCGACUCCAUGAAGUCGGAAUCGCUAGUAAUCGUAGAUCAGAAUGCUACGGUGAAUACGUUCCCGGGCCUUGUACACACCGCCCGUCACACCAUGGGAGUGGGUUGCAAAAGAAGUAGGUAGCUUAACCUUCGGGAGGGCGCUUACCACUUUGUGAUUCAUGACUGGGGUGAAGUCGUAACAAGGUAAGCGUAGUGCU